rnacentral:rRNA from 1 species
CCUACGGGUGGCAGCAGUGGGGAAUAUUGGACAAUGGGCGAAAGCCUGAUCCAGCCAUGCCGCGUGUGUGAAGAAGGCCUUCGGGUUGUAAAGCACUUUCAGUGGGGAAGAAAGCCUUGGGGCUAAUACCCUCGAGGAAGGACAUCACCCACAGAAGAAGCACCGGCUAACUCCGUGCCAGCAGCCGCGGUAAUACGGAGGGUGCGAGCGUUAAUCGGAAUUACUGGGCGUAAAGCGCGCGUAGGCGGUCUGAUAAGCCGGUUGUGAAAGCCCCGGGCUCAACCUGGGAACGGCAUCCGGAACUGUCAGGCUAGAGUGCAGGAGAGGAAGGUAGAAUUCCCGGUGUAGCGGUGAAAUGCGUAGAGAUCGGGAGGAAUACCAGUGGCGAAGGCGGCCUUCUGGACUGACACUGACGCUGCGGUGCGAAAGCGUGGGUAGCAAACAGGAUUAGAUACCCUGGUAGUC